rnacentral:lncRNA from 1 species
GCAUUGUCUGGAUGAAAAGGAGCUUCACUGUACUUCUCUGAGGAAAACACCCUCCCAACUAGUUAUCAAACGGACAGCCUAGGACUAAUCCUGCAGGUGACUAAACCAAGGCUUAGCGAGGUGACAUGACUUUAUUCACAUGUGCUGAGUAGACAGUGGAGGAGGACUAGAAUGCAGGUCUCUCAGCUCACCACACAGACCUCUUUCCAGAAACCACACUGAAUCCAGAGGACUCCUGUGCAGCUUUUG